rnacentral:misc_RNA from 1 species
GAAAUGCGAUAAGUAAUGUGAAUUGCAGAAUUCAGUGAAUCAUCGAAUCUUUGAACGCACCUUGCGCUCCUUGGUAUUCCUUGGAGCAUGCCUGUUUGAGUAUCAUGAAAUCUUCAAAGUAAAUCUUUUGUUAACUCAAUUGGUUUCUACUUUGGUAUUGGAGGUCUUUGCAGCUUCACACCUGCUCCUCUUUGUUCAUUAGCUGGAUCUCAGUGUUAUGCUUGGUUCCACUCGGCGUGAUAAGUUAUCUAUCGCUGAGGACACUGUAAAAGGUGGCCAAGGUAAAUGCAGAUGAACCGCUUCUAAUAGUCCAUUGACUUGGACAAUACUUUUAUGAUCUGAUCUCAAAUCAGGUAGGACUACCCGCUGAUCUUAAGC